GCCAUUGUUUCAUAAACAAAGCAGAGUGUCAUAGAUGUUUGAUUUCAAGUUUCAGCACAUUAUUUUCUAUAAACUUGAUUCUGCCCCCAAAUUUUUCUAAGUGGGUUUCCUUUAGUUUCUAUGUUUCUCUGCAUGAAAUUUGAAUUUUCUUUUCUGAUGCAAAAGGGUGGUUUUAUUUUCAUUAUUGAAUUUUUAGUUAAGCUUAGUAGUUCCUGGCAUUGGUUUUGACAUGGUAUCUAGUGCAUCUACAGGGCUUUCAAUAUUAAAGUCAAGCAACUGGUCACCGACCAUUGUAAACGCCAAGUCCAGAGGCUUAAUUUGGAAUAAGUCAUUGAAUGAUGAUAACAAGCUCAUCCAAGAAUGCACAUGAAGGUGGACAGUCCUCCAGCUCUAAACCCAUCGAAAAGUGGAUGGCAUUUCCGACUGUAGAAUCUAAAACAGAUUCAAAUGAAAUAAUCGAAGAAUCAAAGGCCACUGGAAGCAAUCAAUUGGUGGCUGAAAGGGCAGCAGAAUGGGGACUAAGUGGAAAUCUUAAUAGCCUAUUUGUGGGCUUAAGGUCAUCGGGAGAAGGAAGCAAGUCAUCCAUGGAAAGGACUCCAGCAUCAACAAAGACAUCGAAUGAGUCAAGUUAUACUCUGGAAUCAAGCUUGCCUAGGGUCUCUCAGGAACUGAAGGAUGCAUUGUCAACACUGAAGCAGACUUUUGUUGUAUCAGAUGCAACCAAGCCUGAUUGCCCUAUCAUGUAUGCUAGUGCUGGGUUUUUCAGCAUGACAGGCUACUCAUCAAAGGAGAUUAUUGGAAGAAACUGUCGGUUUCUUCAGGGACCAGAUACAGACAAGAUGGAAGUUGCAAAAAUCAGAGAAGCUGUAAGGACAGGAAAAAGCUACUGUGGGCGGCUCUUGAACUACAAGAAGGAUGGCACGCCAUUUUGGAACCUUCUCACAGUGACACCCAUAAAAGAUGACCAUGGGAAGGUUAUCAAAUUUAUAGGAAUGCAAGUUGAGGUCAGCAAAUAUACAGAAGGUCUAAAUGACAAAACAUUGCGUCCAAAUGCUUUGCCAGUGUCAUUAAUCCAUUAUGAUGCACGACAGAAAGAGAAGGCCUUAUCGUCUAUUACAGAGGUUGUCCAGACUGUGAAGCAUCCCCGCUCUCACUCACAAGCUGCAGAUGAGUUUGCUGUCAAGCUUGAUGAGCAUGAAAAGUUCUAUGUUGACUCUCCACUUCAAAAGUCUUCAGACAUUAAAAAUCUCAAGUCACCAGGUAGACUGACUUCUCUACAGGAUGCCAAAAGCGAGUCACCAGGAAUGAGCAUUAGAAAAUCAGGCCGUUCUUCCUUAAUAGGGUUUAAAGGAAGAAAGCGGAGUUCUGUAGAAAAGCGUGAAUCUCUUGUCGAGCCAGAGAUUUUAAUGACAAAAGAAGUUCAACGCACAGAAAGCUGGGAUCAUGUGGAAAGAGAAAAAGAUAUACGACAAGGAAUUGAUUUGGCUACAACAUUGGAGCGCAUUGAAAAGAAUUUUGUUAUAACAGAUCCUAGACUUCCUGAUAAUCCAAUAAUAUUUGCAUCUGAUAGCUUUCUUGAACUGACAGAAUAUUCACGGGAAGAAAUUUUAGGAAGAAACUGCCGGUUUCUUCAAGGACCCGAAACAGAUCAAGGAACUGUUGCAAAGAUAAGAGAUGCUAUAAGAGAACAACGGGAAAUCACUGUCCAACUAAUUAAUUAUACAAAGAGUGGAAAGAAAUUUUGGAACUUAUUCCACUUGCAACCCAUGCGUGAUCAAAAGGGUGAGCUUCAAUACUUCAUUGGCGUGCAACUAGAUGGAAGCGGUCAUGUUGAACCCCUUCGAAAUCGCCUCUCAGAGACGACAGAGAUAGAAAGUUCUAAGCUGGUUAAAGCUACAGCAGAGAAUGUUGAUGAAGCUGUCAGAGAGCUUCCUGAUGCCAACUUGAGACCGGAGGAUUUGUGGGCAAUCCAUUCUCAACCUGUCUUUGCGAAGCCCCACAAAAGGAAUAACUCUUCUUGGAUAGCUAUAGAGAAGAUCACUGGGAAAGGUGAACAUAUUGGUUUGAAACAUUUCAAGCCUAUAAGACCCCUGGGUUGUGGGGAUACUGGCAGUGUACAUAUGGUGGAACUGCAAGGUACCGGUGAAUUAUUUGCUAUGAAGGCAAUGGAGAAAUCAGUAAUGUUAAAGCGUAACAAGGUUCAUCGAGCAUGCAUAGAGAGAGAAAUUUAUUCGUUAUUGGAUCAUCCCUUUCUUCCAACACUGUACACUUCCUUUCAGACUCCAACACACGUUUGUUUAAUAACAGACUUUUGCGCUGGAGGAGAGCUAUUUGCAUUGCUUGACAGGCAACCUAUGAAGAUUUUCAAAGAAGAAGCUGCAAGGUUCUAUGCUGCAGAAGUUGUAGUUGGUCUGGAAUACCUUCACUGUCUAGGAAUUAUAUAUCGUGAUCUAAAGCCUGAGAAUAUAUUACUCCAAAAGGAUGGGCAUGUGGUAUUGACCGACUUUGAUCUGUCAUUUUUGACAUCUUGUAAACCUCAGGUGAUAAAACAUGUAUCUCUGUCUAGGAGAAGAAAAUCCAGAGAUCACCUUCCUCCAACCUUUGUUGCAGAACCUAGUGCACAAUCAAAUUCAUUCGUUGGAACAGAAGAGUAUAUAGCUCCUGAGAUUAUCACAGGAGCAGGACAUAGUAGUGCCAUAGAUUGGUGGGCUCUUGGAAUUUUGUUGUAUGAGAUGUUAUAUGGCCGUACACCUUUUCGAGGAAAGAAUAGGCAAAGGACAUUUGCCAACAUUUUGCAGAAAGACCUCACAUUCCCUAGUAGCAUUCCACCUUGCAGCCAGGCAGUUAAUCCACGGAUUGCUCCACAGAGACCCUGCUUAUCGUUUGGGAUCAAAUACUGGUGCACAUGAAAUCAAACAACAUCCUUUCUUCCAUGAAAUUAAUUGGCCUCUUAUUCGUUGCAUGACUCCACCACAGCUAGAUGUUCCUCUUCAACUGAUUGGGAAAGAACAUGUUCCAAAAGCUAAGGAUAUACAGUGGGACGACGAGGAAAUGCUUGUUCAAAGUCUAGAAACAAUUUAAGGUGCAGGUAGUUUCUUGGGUGAGAGGAUCUAGUGCUUUUCUUCUCUCACAGAUUUCCCAGUCCAAUUACUUUGUUAAGAGAUUAUCAUCCUAGAGGGAAAUGGACAGGUAAUCAUGUAUAUCAACGAGAAGUGAUGUAUAUUACUUUGUUAUUUUGGGUGAGGAAAAUGCUAUACUGUAACAAGAGAACAAAAGGACAGUGUCAUGUCAGGGUGUUCAAGAUUUCUUUGUUGCGAAGGACCACUUCAACCCUGAAACAUAAGAUACUCUUACAGAAAGGACAAUCAAAAGGCUGGUACAAGGGCACGUCUCAGUACAGAGAAGAUUAUGUGCGAAAUACAUUUGUACUUUUAUCUGGUUUAAAUAAAAUUGUGAUCUAUGAUCGUAUGAACACAGGAUGACAUAACAUUAGGUUUUGCUUUAUGCAUGGCCCGCCAGAUGGGAAGAAAUAUUAAAUAUCUUCUUCUUUUGAAGACCAUAAGACUGAAGGCCUCAACAUCCAACCUUAUCUGAGAAAUACAGAGAGGGCUCCCCAUCUUCAGGAUUUGAACUCUGGUCCUCUCCACUUGAAAUAGGAAGUCCAACAGGCUGAGAGAAGGUUGGUUUAAUAUCAAUCUUGGAAGCUUAAAGGCAAUGAAAAAUUUGAUCAAUAUUGUAGCUAAUUUUUGUUCUCAUUUGAGUUCAACUUCCCAGCUUCACCAAUUCACCUGAACAAACUUCUUGUACAAGACUUUCAUUUCAUAAAUGUCCGCUAAAAUCUAUGUAGAAAUGCUAAUGAAUGUGGGUGGAAACUUGCUAAAGGA